rnacentral:lncRNA from 1 species
UCUUCUCUAACUCCUUCCUUUCUCCCUGUUUAUUGAGUACAUCAGCUUUGGGUGCACAGCAGGUCAACAAAAUGCAUGGUCUGAUCCUAGACUUGACCCUUAUCGUAAUACAUCAACCAAACAUUGGCAAACCAAUAGCUAUGAUGUUAGAAAUAACGUGGGUCGACUUUCUCUCGUUUACAACAAAAUGGAAUUGAGAAACUGCAGCUGAAAAUGGACACAAGUAUUUACGUGGUUCACCCAAUUUAGGCUACGUCCAC